UGGGGAAUAUUGGACAAUGGGCGCAAGCCUGAUCCAGCAAUGCCGCGUGUGUGAAGAAGGCCUGCGGGUUGUAAAGCACUUUCAGUGGGGAGGAAGGGCUUAGUGCUAAUAGUACUGAGCAUUGACGCUACCCACAGAAGAAGCACCGGCUAACUCUGUGCCAGCAGCCGCGGUAAUACAGAGGGUGCAAGCGUUAAUCGGAAUUACUGGGCGUAAAGGGCGCGUAGGUGGUUUGCUAAGUCAGAUGUGAAAACCCUGGGCUUAACUUAGGAAUUGCAUUUGAAACUGGUAGACUAGAGUUUGGGAGAGGGAAGUGGAAUUUCAGGUGUAGCGGUGAAAUGCGUAGAUAUCUGAAGGAACAUCAGUGGCGAAGGCGACUUCCUGGCCCGAUACUGACACUGAGGCGCGAAAGCGUGGGGAGCGAACAGGAUUAGAUACCCCCGUAGUCC
rnacentral:rRNA from 1 species